UCGGACGAACGAGCACAAGUUUUGGCGUUACCGAGUUAUGCGGAAAAGGUUUCCGUCUCGUCUUCUCGGUUAGUUUCCGUUUUUGGGCAGCCGUCCAAUUUUCUGCCGACUUCAACGACUAUUUUGAAUGCUUCGCGGGUAAAACAAGAAUGAGGGUUCGCGCUCUGCAAUUGACUGGUGCGUGCUCUCUCUUCGUCCCCCACUCUCUCCUUCUCCUUCUCUUUCUCUGUUCCUUCCAAAGGGAUCGUCCUGGUGCGUGGGUACCUGAGGUUUCAGGUAGAGGCAGAGCCGGUGGAAUGCGACCAGCUUUUCUGGCUUCGGGACCCCUUUGCCGUGUUCCUUGGGUUUCCGAAUAUGAGAAACCUAAUGUCGACUCUCGCAGCAGAUGAAGGCCUUUGAAGUUCGUCUAAUCGUAGUCUUAAACCUUCUCUCGCCCCAGACGAAUGCUUCGUAGCCUGCUCGCCUCCUUGGCAGCCAUUCGGAGGGUCUGAUUUUAGCUUUAACAAGCAGACAGGUGAGGUGCCAAAAACUUCAGGAGAAGUGCCAAAGUUGAAGUGCUUGUUUUUGAUGACAGCCUGGCUAGCCCCAUGCAAUAUGCAAAAUUGACAAGGAAAAAAGGCACCUCAAGAUAACAUCAUACAUUAUUCCUUGAAUGAAUGCUGCAAUAGUCGUAAACCAAAAUAUUUUUCUUUUCACAUAAAUUGCAAUAGUCAGAGUCCAUUAGUGCUGCAAGUCGAUGUAUGACGGGGACAAUGCAAUAGAUGGUGCUGUAGUUUCCUUCACAAAGAAAGGCAACUGGGCAUUGGGCAAACACGGACUUUUAUGGAAGAUGACAAUGAAAAUGAUAAGUACAUUAUUGAGGACUUUCACUGCGCCCCUAUACAAUUUCCCCUUCUUUGCAAUGGCCACCGGCGGCUAACAUAGCCAACAGCUGGCGACGUCGGCAGACAUCGGCAGCCUGGUAAGUGUGUGUGUUUGUUUUUCUUUUCUAGGGGCAUAGAACUUUAAG